UUGAGUGUCGCUAUGGCUGCUAUAAUACAAGCGCUUGUUCUGUGUGUGACAGCUAACUUGCUUAUUUUUCGCCCUUGGCUAGUAUACGCGCAGCUGGUUUAUGUUAUAGACAACGUAAACGUCACAUCGGAAGAUCAAUGCCAUUUCAAUGGAACGUACUAUCCUAACGGCAAUUUCAGUACGUGGUUUCCCACCUGCUAUAUGGCCUUGUGUAAUACAACAGCUACAGAGCUAACGCUUGUCGUGUGUGAUGCAAAGUCAAACUCUCCUUGUAGUAUGCCGGCAGUUCCGAAGGAUGGAUAUCCUGCAUGCUGCCCCGAUCCCAUUUGUUGAAGAGAGACAGCGAGCAUUAUUAUUGAUUACAAGCAACGGUGGGCAAACAGCCAAAAUUAAAAUGUUGGUGUGAAGUUAGUAUCACACGUCUAAUGAGAGUAGAAUGCAGCCUUGUGGAAUGCUGUCCAACAGGCUGUAUACAUUUUGUAAGGUACUUUAUUUACACACCGUAAGUCAUAUGGCGCAGA